rnacentral:rRNA from 1 species
GAUCCUGGCUCAGGACGAACGCUGGCGGCGUGCCUAACACAUGCAAGUCGAACGGAAGCAAAGAUUUCGGUUUUUGCUUUAGUGGCGAACGGGUGAGUAACGCGUGAGGAACCUGCCUUUCAGUGGGGGACAACAGUUGGAAACGACUGCUAAUACCGCAUAAUGCUUUUUGACGGCAUCAUUGAAAAGCCAAAGAUUUAUUGCUGAAAGAUGGCCUCGCGUCUGAUUAGCUAGUUGGUGGGGUAACGGCCC